rnacentral:rRNA from 1 species
UGGGGAAUAUUGGGCAAUGGGCGAAAGCCUGACCCAGCGACGCCGCGUGGGUGAUGAAGGCCUUCGGGUUGUAAAGCCCUGUCAUGCGGAAAGAACGACCCUGAGACGCAUACUCUCAGGGAGUGACGGUACCGCAGGAGGAAGCACCGGCUAACUCCGUGCCAGCAGCCGCGGUAAUACGGAGGGUGCAAGCGUUGUUCGGAAUUAUUGGGCGUAAAGGGCGCGUAGGCGGUAAUGUAAGUCAGAUGUGAAAUACUCCGGCUCAACCAGAGAACAGCAUCUGAAACUGCAUAACUAGAGUACAGAAGAGGGAAGCGGAAUUCCCGGUGUAGAGGUGAAAUUCGUAGAUAUCGGGAGGAACACCAGUGGCGAAGGCGGUUUCCUGGUCUAAUACUGACGCUGAUGCGCGAAAGCGUGGGGAGCAAACAG